rnacentral:rRNA from 1 species
UGACGUCAAGUCCUCAUGGCCCUUAUGGGUAGGGCUUCACACGUCAUACAAUGGUCGGUACAGAGGGUUGCCAACCCGCGAGGGGGAGCUAAAUCCCAACAAAGCCGAUCGUAGUCCGGAUCGCAGUCUGCAACUCGACUGCGUGAAGUCGGAAUCGCUAGUAAUCGUGGAUCAGCAUGUCACGGUGAAUACGUUCCCGGGUCUU